AACUUAAGCGCAGGUAACGGCAGGUGUAACUAUAACACUUUUUAAGGUAGCCAAACUGCCUCGUCAUCUAAUUAGUGACGUGCAUGAAUGGAUCAAUGAGAUUCCUACUGUCCCAAAUGACCAUCUAACGAACCCACAGCCAAGGGAACGGGCUUGGCAAAAUCAGCGGGGAAAGAAGACCCUGUUGAGCUUUUGAAGAAGAGUGACAUUGUGACGUGGCAAUUGGGGUAUAGUGUAGGUGGGAGGGCAACCAAUAAUGUAACACCACUACUCAUUUCGUCAUUUUACUAAUUCCGUGAAGCAGAGCUCCUCCGGGAAUUCUUGCACUAAGGUUCGUAAGAACUGAUCUGGGCGGAAGACAGUGUCAUCCGAUUUUCUUGACUGGGGCGGUACAUCUGUUAAACGAUAACGCAGGUGUCCUAAGGCGAGCUCAAAGAGAACAGAAAUCUCUUGUAGACCAAAAGGGGGAAAAGCUCGCUUGAUUUUUGAUUUUCAGUACAAAUACAAACUGUGAAAGCAUGGCC
rnacentral:rRNA from 1 species